UUACUCACCAAUCCAACAAUUGCUCUAGACGCGAUUUCGAUAUGCAUGUAUUACUUGAAUUGGGAUAUGCAGUUCAUGCUUGGUCUAAGUGCAGCAAUCAGUGUCCGAGUGAGCAACGAGCUAGGAGCGGGAA